UUAAGGUAGAGACCGAUAGUAACCACGUGAUCAGUAAAAAUCGUGUAUUUUCACGUGAAAUUAUUUUUCGGAAUUCCGUACAUCGCCAUAGAGUAGUCGAAAAACAAAAAGGGGUUCCGAAAGUACAAGUUGUUGCUGUGACUGAAUCGAUGAUUGAGAGGGUCGUCUCGACGAAAGAUAUAGAAAUUUGGCCAUAGUUUAGAUUAGGAAUACGUCAAUGUAAUAAUAGUGGACUAAAUGUUUCGUCCGUGCAGAAUGGCACUUUUUACCUCACGAAAUUCACCACCAUGCAUAGCUGCACUACGUAAACAAAGUUGUUGAUGUAGCGUGAUCGUGAUGUCCGAGUGCUGCGAGUUUCAAUACUGUUUAUGUAGUCAUUGAGAGUUUAAACAAAGUUUCUUCUGAGAAGAGGAAUUCGAUGGAUGCAUUCAACGUGGACAACGAAAUCAUAAUUUCGUUUGCAUCAUCCUAAGGACCAGUGCAAGUUGAAAUGGGCUUCCAGCCAACAACUUCAACAGCAAUUUGCCAUGAAAAUCAGCAAGAAAGGUACUUCAUUUACAUUGAUGAUGUCAUAUCCCCUGGACCCCACAACUUUACAGGUUACAGAGAAAAUUCAAGAACUUCUGCAAAAUGUGGGACUUGGAUAGAAUCAAUAAUGUAUUUGUGAGCCCAGAGCAAUGGAUAUAUUGUGCAACAUACUAAAGUGUGAAUUUAUGGAAAACAAGUACAUGUACUCAUGUAUUACAUGUCUUUUUUAAAGACAAUAAUAUUGUAUAAAUAUAGAGGAAGUGUCAUUGUUGAUUAUUCUAAGUUUUUGAUAUAUCAAAAUCAGUAAACAUUUCUAAAUGAAAAUAAAAUACCAAUUUUAUAACUUUAA